rnacentral:rRNA from 1 species
CAUUUCUAGCUUGCUAGAAGAUGACGAGUGGCGGACGGGUGAGUAAUGCUUGGGAACUUGCCUUUGCGAGGGGGAUAACAGUUGGAAACGACUGCUAAUACCGCAUAAUGUCUUCGGACCAAACGGGGCUUCGGCUCCGGCGCAAAGAGAGGUCCAAGUGAGAUUAGCUAGUUGGUAAGGUAACGGCUUACCAAGGCGACUAUCUCUAUCUGUUCUGAGAGGAAUAUCAGCCACACUGGGACUGACACACCACCCACACUCCUACGGGAGGCAGCAGUGGGGAAUAUUGCACAGUGGGGGAAACCCUGAUGCAGCCAUGCCGCGUGUGUGAAGAACGCCUUCGGGUUGUAAAGCACUUUCUUUUGUGAGGAAAAGUUAGUAGUUAAUACCUGCUAGCCGUGACGUUAACAACAAAAGAAGCACCGGCUAACUCCGUGCCAGCAGCCGCGGUAAUACGGAGGGUGCGAGCGUUAAUCGGAAUUACUGGGCGUAAAGCGCACGC